GGGCAGGCGGGGGAUAUUCAUGGGCUCUUCCCUCUUCUGUCUGCAGCCGGCGGAGGAGAUCCGCAAUAAGGCAGCGGGGGCGUGAGGAAGGGGCGUGGGCGGCGAGUUCGUAUCGCCCCAAAGGAAGCGUAAAACGCCUAAGGGUUAAAAUCUCAACACAGAAUAGCCGCUAUCCCCCCCCCCCCAAUCUCCCCCGGCUACAAAAGCUGCCCUUUCCGGCUAACCCAACAGUGCUUAGCCGUGGCCAAAGGCGAGGGAAAUCCACGCGCUAGCAACCAAACACAACGACCCUUCAAGGCAACUGCUCGACUUGGUUACUGUAUGUUCUGGCAGGAAUGUCCCCCUUCUCUCCAAUCACUGCUCAUCGCCAAUUCCUGAAUGGUAUUUCCAAGGUUCUUGCGCUAUGGAUUAUUCCUGAUGACAUCUGCAGUGGCAGCUGGAAUGUCCUCAAUUAGAUGGACUCUGGUAUCCACUCAGACGUGCCAAUUUUGACAUCAGCUCUGGGCUGAAGACCAAGGUAUUCAUAAUGUGGAAAGGUCAAACGAAAGGGAGACAGAUCAAAACACAGUCUCUAGGCAAAGCAGGGCCAGA